GUGAAUCAUCAAAUCUUUGAACGCACAUUGCACUCUCUGGUAUUCCGGAGAGGAUGCCUGUUUGAGGGUAAUUACAAAGAAUCUUUAACCAAUUUGUUUGGCCCAUGGAAGUGAGCUCUCCGCGUUUAUAGCGGUAGCUUGAAAUAAAUGGUCAAGUCUCAUGUUAUUCGAGUCGCGUAAUAAUUUUAUUUCGCGAAAUCUUCAUU
rnacentral:misc_RNA from 1 species